GCUAAACGCUGGCGGCGUGUCUUAGCCAUGCAAGUCGAGCGGACUUAUGGGGUAACUUAUAAGUCAGCGGCGGACGGCGGAGUAACACGUAGCUAACCUACCCUCUGGACGGGGGAUAACCUACCGAAAGGUGGGCUAAUACCCGAUGUAGUCAUCCUGUAUAGGGGUGAUGAAAGGUGGGCUUCUGUUUACAAGCUCAUGCUGGAGGAGGGGGCUGCGGCCUAUCAGGUAGUUGGUAGGGUAAUAGCCUACCAAGCCGAUGACGGGUAGCCGGCCUGAGAGGGUGACCGGCCCGAGGGGCACUGAGAUACGGGUCCCACUCCUACGGGAGGCAGCAGGCUAGAAAUUUGGGCAAUGGGGGAAACCCUGACCCAGUGACGCCGCGUGCAGGAAGGAGCCCUUCGGGGUGUAAACUGCUGUCGUGUAGGGAGAAGGGUACUAAGGUGAACAAUCUUAAGUACUUGACGGUACUACAGGAGGAAGCCCAGGCUAACCUCGUG
rnacentral:rRNA from 1 species